UUCAUAAUGUGUUAGAUCUGAUUCUCUUACGCUUUCGAAAAUCACAAUCAAAAGAACUGCCUGAGCCUACUUCUAUUUGUUUGAGAGCUGUUGAUAUAAUUUUACUUUUACAUUUGCCAGGUUUCUUAUCUGUUUUAUUUUUGUGAUUCUAGGUUGCAUUUUACUGUGUGUAAAGUGAUGCAUUUUCCUUUUGGAGAGAUCGUCCCCUAUGUACGGUAUCUGUUAUUUCAAGCUGUAAAGCAACUUAAUUUUUGAAGUUGGGCACACAACUACUUAUUUUUCUUUUCUCUUUGGUGUCAGGCUGGUGGGAGUUGGAAGCAGGAAACUCUUUCAGAGACUGAUGUUCAGACCCGGCGAGCAUCCCGCUUCCUGUUCCUUUCCCACUUGGGAUCUGCUGCUGUGUUUGAAGAAUAAGGAGGGAAAAAGGACGUUCCUCUUCUCUGUUUCAGCUUGAAGGUGAUUUCAUUUCUGCACUGAGAGCGGUGAUUUGAUGUUGCCUGAGUGUUACUGAAGGGACCUAAUUCUGCAAGUAGCAGUGCACUCGUUUCCCAUCAAUUUUAUUGGCAGUUGGGACCACUUAGAGCUUUGAAGAGAGAAGCAGUCUGAAGGGGGAGCUGGAAAGGGACUGGAAGAAAGCAGGAGGGCUUCCUGAUGUGGGAUUGCAAACCCAAACCUGUCCUUCUUGUAUAGACCUAAGAAUCUAGUCCUCAAAAGACAAACAUCUGCCAGGAAAAAAAGCUUGAUCCUGUCUGGGUGCGGAGAAGGUGGACUGACAAAUUCCAUUUGCUGGGUUGCUCACAUGCAUAAAUCCAUGUGUGUGAAUGUCCUCAGGAGGGGAGCCCAGCAGGGUCCUGGCUCCUGAAUGGCAUCGCUCCCCCUGGACCCUAGGCAGUCACAUAUUGAGUCCUCUGGUCUCGGUCACAGCUCCUGCCCUAUUUGCUUCCACGUGGAUGUAGAUGCUGCACAGGAAGAUUCUGCAGCCUGGCGCUGGUGGGGGGUAUGUGAGCUGGGAAUCCCAUUUGAACAGGGUCCUUUUAAGCCUUGUCACUGUUACACUGCUGUCAUUUUGCCAAAGCGUUUUUAAUCCUUUUCAGUUCUUCACAUUGGUUGCUGAACUGUUAAUCUGCUUCGUGCAUACCAAGGUCCUCUUGGAGAGCUACCAUGCCUGCUUUCUUGCUAGAGCACUGUUCAGCUAUUGUUGAUGAGAUACAAAGCAAGAUGUACAUAAAACUGGUGCAUAAGGAAACAGAAGCAAAGUGCAGAAGCCCACUUGAGAAUAUAUGUUGGUUUGCUUUUUGUCAGAGGUUUGUAGUUUACUUCUGAUUAACUGGCACAAUUAAAAUGGAAGUUACUGUCAAACAUUA